rnacentral:rRNA from 1 species
UACAGAGGGUGCGAGCGUUGUCCGGAAUCACUGGGCGUAAAGAGCUCGUAGGCGGUUCGUCGCGUCGGCUGUGAAAACCUGAGGCUCAACCUCAGGCCUGCAGUCGAUACGGGCGGACUUGAGUACUGCAGGGGAGACUGGAAUUCCUGGUGUAGCGGUGAAAUGCGCAGAUAUCAGGAGGAACACCGGUGGCGAAGGCGGGUCUCUGGGCAGUAACUGACGCUGAGGAGCGAAAGCGUGGGGAGCGAACAGG